rnacentral:misc_RNA from 1 species
AUAACGCCGCCUUCUCAUUCAACACCAAGCUGGUAGCAGAGUUGGCUUUUCUUGACAAAGCACUGGGUUUGACAACUGUUUACAUUGAUUGCCACCAUACUUUUGUGGAAGCUCUUAAAAAUCCCAGCAAGUUCGGAUUCCUUGAAACAUCAAAGGGAUGUUGCGGAACUGGUACCACGGAAUUUGGGGACACAUGUAAGGGUUUGCG